GUUAAAACACCAGUUCUUGAAUGACCACCAAAGUUAAGCAACACUGAACCUGGUCAGUACCUAGAUGGGUGAAUGCCUGGGAAUACCAGGUGCUGUAAG